GGGCCGCGGAGGCGUCUCGGGCCGCCGGAGGGAGGCGCUUGAGCGUCGGCGGAGGAAAGGGCGGGGCAAUUGCACCGCGGGGGGUGAAACUCCGCCCUCUACGCUCAGCUUCGCCGGCGGCGGCAAGGUUGACUCGAGCGCCUUCAGCAGCCCGGUCCUAGGUGUGUUUACCCAGAAGUAAAGCCCACUGUUUUCAGCGGGCCUUACUCGCGAGUAAAUGGGAGCGGGGCUGCGGGGAUUAGGCGUUGCCCUCCCGCUCCGUGCUUGUGGGAUUAAAGGGAUGUGGUCAGCCCUGAAACUGUGCGACCCUCACCGUCUCCUCAUAAAUACAGGAGUCCAGUGGUUUUUUAUAUUUAAUCCCUACACAUCCACCCAUCAAAUUCCACAUUAUAUCCAUGUCUAUGAACAGAACCAUGAAAAUUAGGGACCUGGCACUUCCCAGCGUCACCAUUGUGCAAAAAUGUGAAUCUAAGGCAUUGAUCCUGCUGAACUUACAUAAAGGUAAAGCGGCCUUUACCUUACCAUUAGGUCCAGUCGUGACCAACUUUGGGGUUGCAGUGCUCAUCUCGCUUUAUUGGUCUAGGGAGCCGGCGUACAGCUUCCAGGUCAUGUGGCCAGUAUGACUAAGCCGCUUCUGGCAAACCAGAGCAGCGCACGGAAAUGCCGUUUACCUUCCUGCCAGAGCGGUCCCUAUUUAUCUACUUGCACUUUGAUGUGCUUUUGAACUGCUAGGUUGGCAGGAGCAGGCACCAAGCAAUGGGAGCUCACCCCGUCGCGGGGAUUCAAACCGCCGACCUUCUGAUCGGCAAGUCCUAGGCUCUGUGGUUUAACCCACAGCGCCACCCCUUACAUAGAUUUCUUCAAAUCCACCAUCAAAGUAGAACUCAACCCACUCCCCAAGGACAGCUCUCUAUGAAGGGUGUCCCUCAGUGUGUAAACUGUCCCCUCCCAUUAUCUCAGUGUUAUCUGUGAUCCCAAACAAAUGCACUUAACUCCCUUCAGACCAUUCCACGUGAGGGCUGGAGCAUGCAAGGCCAGCAAGCACAAAAUGCUGAGAGCAGGGCUGGUGUGUAGAACCCUUAUGCCCCAUGCUCAAGCUUGCAUUAGGCCUGAACAGUGCUAUGGAUCUUUUCAAUUUCUUCAGGAACCCCCUCCCCCCGAAUACCACUAUCAAAGUGCAGGUAUCAGUGUCCAUGGAGUGUACCACAAAAAAAAUCACACACACAUCACUUUCUGAUGCCACUGCUACACAAUCCAUCCUGGAGUCUCUAGAGGUGGCUGUCAUUUCUUCUUGUAACAGAGCAUCCCAAAAUUCUAUCUGUAGCCCUUUCUGGUCUAGCUGCUGUUAAAUGACCUUAUUAGGGCCAUAUCUUCUUGGGGAAAAAAAUCCGUAUUUUCUCCAUACUCUUGCCAGUCAGAAUGGGUGCUACCAUUAGGCAGGGUGAGGUUAUUUGCCUCAGGCAACAGAGGUUGAGAUGCCACUAAAGGGCAUCAAACUGCCAAUUAUUUAGCUUAUUAUAAUAUUUUCACAAUGUGAAGGCGCCAUUUAUACUUUCUGCCUCUGGCUCCAAGUGUUAUGGGCCACCUCAGUUGCCACCUCUUGUGUCAAGUGAGAUGGGAUUCUAAGCAGGGGUUGUGCUCCGUGUGUUUUAUUAGACUCCAACCAACUUACACUUUCCCUUUUCUUUUUACAGAUGGCUGACGCCUUUCAUCUUGGCUGUGAAGUUAAUUAAACCUGCAGCAACAUCUUAUAAUGCUAUGAAGUUUGAGAGGAUGACUUGGAGAAGUGUCCUAGAAACUGGUAGCUAGUCCUAGAAACUGCAAGGGCAGAACUAUCAGACAACUUAACUUACUUGGCACUGAAUCAGAAAAAGAGAAAGAUGCCAAGUGCCCAUGGUGGGUUGGCCUCAGACAUAAAGUGUGAUACAAACUGUGAUGGGUUACACCUGCUGUUGAAAGUCAUGUAAAUGGUGUGUUCAGUGGCACAUACGUAGUUUUCUCCAAUAAUAAAGUGUAAUAAAAUGAACUAAGAAACUUGGAACAACUGAUAAA